GGUAGGGUAUUGGCCUACCGUGGCAAUGACGGGUAACGGGGAAUUAGGGUUCGAUUCCGGAGAGGGAGCCUGAGAAACGGCUACCACAUCUAAGGAAGGCAGCAGGCGCGCAAAUUACCCAAUCCUAAUACAGGGAGGUAGUGACAAGAAAUAACAAUACAGGACUUUUUGGUUUUGUAAUUGGAAUGAGUUAAGUAUAAACCCCUUUACAAGUAUCAAUUGGAGGGCAAGUCUGGUGCCAGCAGCCGCGGUAAUUCCAGCUCCAAUAGCGUAUAUUAAAGUUGUUGCAGUUAAAAAGCUCGUAGUUGGAUUUCUGUUAAUAAUUUAUAUAAAAUAUUUUGAAUAUUUAUAUAACAUUAACAUAAUUCAUAUUACUAUAUUUUUUAGUAUAUGAAAUUUUACUUUGAGAAAAUUAGAGUGCUUAAAGCAGGCAUAUGCCUUGAAUACUCCAGCAUGGAAUAAUAUUAAAGAUUUUUAUCUUUCUUAUUGGUUCUAAGAUAAGAAUAAUGAUUAAUAGGGACAGUUGGGGGCAUUUGUAUUUAACAGUCAG
rnacentral:rRNA from 1 species